rnacentral:rRNA from 1 species
CAUGCAAGUCGAACGGAAACCUUCGGGUUUUAGUGGCGAACGGGUGAGUAACACGUAAGCAACCUGCCCUUAAGACGAGGAUAACAAUUGGAAACAGUUGCUAAGACUGGAUAGGAAAAGUAAAGGCAUCUUUACUUUUUUAAAAGACCUUCUUUGAAGGUAUGCUUAAGGAGGGGCUUGCGACACAUUAGUUAGUUGGUAGGGUAAAGGCCUACCAAGACUAUGAUGUGUAGCUGGACUGAGAGGUUGAACAGCCACAUUGGGACUGAGACACGGCCCAAACUCCUACGGGAGGCAGCAGUAGGGAAUUUUCGGCAAUGGAGGAAACUCUGACCGAGCAACGCCGCGUGAACGAUGAAGUACCUCGGUAUGUAAAGUUCUUUUAUUAAGGAAGAAAAAAGAGUGGAAAAACUCCCUUGACGGUACUUAAUGAAUAAGCCCCGGCUAAUUAUGUGCCAGCAGCCGCGGUAAUACAUAAGGGGCGAGCGUUAUCCGGAAUUAUUGGGCGUAAAGGGUGCGUAGGCGGUUUAAUAAGUCUAUAGUUUAAUUUCAGCGCUUAACGCUGUUGUGCUAUAGAAACUGUUUUACUAGAGUGAGAUAGAGGCAAGCGGAAUUCCAUGUGUAGCGGUAAAAUGCGUAAAUAUAUGGAGGAACACCAGAGGCGUAGGCGGCUUGCUGGGUCUUUACUGACGCUGAGGCACGAAAGCGUGGGGAGCAAACAGGAUUAGAUACCCUGGUAGUCCACGCCGUAAACGAUGAGUACUAAGUGUCGGGCAAAACCGGUACUGAAGUUAACACAUUAAGUACUCCGCCUGAGUAGUACGUACGCAAGUAUGAAACUUAAAGGAAUUGACGGGACUCCGCACAAGCGGUGGAUCAUGUUGUUUAAUUCGAAGAUACACGAAAAACCUUACCAGGUCUUGACAUUUUCUUGCGAAGUUAUAGAAAUAUAAUGGAGGUUAUCAGGAAAACAGGUGGUGCAUGGUUGUCGUCAGCUCGUGUCGUGAGAUGUUAGGUUAAGUCCUAAAACGAGCGCAACCCUUGUCGUUAAUUGCCAGCAUGUAAUGAUGGGGACUUUAACGAGACUGCCAAUGAAAAAUUGGAGGAAGGUGGGGAUUACGUCAAAUCAUCAUGCCCCUUAUGAUCUGGGCUACAAACGUGAUACAAUGGUUGAUACAAAGAGUAGCUGAAACGCGAGUUCUUAGCUAAUCUCACAAAAUCAAUCUCAGUUCGGAUUGAAGUCUGCAACUCGACUUCAUGAAGUUGGAAUCGCUAGUAAUCGCGAAUCAGCAUGUCGCGGUGAAUACGUUCUCGGGGUUUGUACACACCGCCCGUCAAACCACGAAAGUUGGCAAUACCCCAAAGCGGUCGCCUAACUUCGUAAGAAGAAGGAUCCGUCUAAGGUAGGGUCGAUGAUUGGGGUUAAG